GACGAACGCUGGCGGCGUGCUUAACACAUGCAAGUCGAACGAAGUGGCGUACGGGUGAGUAACGCGUAAUCAACCUGCCCUUCAGCGGGGGACAACAGUUGGAAACGACUGCUAAUACCGCAUACUGAAGGAGGGGAUUGCGUCUGAUUAGCUAGUUGGUGGGGUUAGGGCCCACCAAGGCGAUGAUCAGUAGCCGGUCUGAGAGGAUGAACGGCCCCAUUGGGACUAGGAAACGGGCCAGACUCCUACGGGAGGCAGCAGUGGGGAAUCUUCCGCAAUGGAGGAAAGUCUGACGGAGCAACGCCGCGUGAGGGAUGACGGCCUUCGGGUUGUAAAGCUCUGUUAAUCGGGACGCGGUACCGGAAUAGAAAGCCACGGCUAACUACGUGCCAGCAGCCGCGGUAAUAC
rnacentral:rRNA from 1 species